GGGUUGUGAGGUUAAGCGACUAAGCGUACACGGUGGAUGCCCUGGCAGUCAGAGGCGAUGAAGGACGUGCUAAUCUGCGAUAAGCGUCGGUAAGGUGAUAUGAACCGUUAUAACCGGCGAUUUCCGAAUGGGGAAACCCAGUGUGAUUCGUCACACUAUCAUUAACUGAAUCCAUAGGUUAAUGAGGCGAACCGGGGGAACUGAAACAUCUAAGUACCCCGAGGAAAAGAAAUCAACCGAGAUUCCCCCAGUAGCGGCGAGCGAACGGGGAGGAGCCCAGAGCCUGAAUCAGUGUGUGUGUUAGUGGAAGCGUCUGGAAAGGCGCGCGAUACAGGGUGACAGCCCCGUACACAAAAAUGCACAUACUGUGAGCUCGAUGAGUAGGGCGGGACACGUGGUAUCCUGUCUGAAUAUGGGGGGACCAUCCUCCAAGGCUAAAUACUCCUGACUGACCGAUAGUGAACCAGUACCGUGAGGGAAAGGCGAAAAGAACCCCGGCGAGGGGAGUGAAAAAGAACCUGAAACCGUGUACGUACAAGCAGUGGGAGCCUCUUAAUGGGGUGACUGCGUACCUUUUGUAUAAUGGGUCAGCGACUUAUAUUCUGUAGCAAGGUUAACCGAAUAGGGGAGCCGAAGGGAAACCGAGUCUUAACUGGGCGUUAAGUUGCAGGGUAUAGACCCGAAACCCGGUGAUCUAGCCAUGGGCAGGUUGAAGGUUGGGUAACACUAACUGGAGGACCGAACCGACUAAUGUUGAAAAAUUAGCGGAUGACUUGUGGCUGGGGGUGAAAGGCCAAUCAAACCGGGAGAUAGCUGGUUCUCCCCGAAAGCUAUUUAGGUAGCGCCUCGUGAAUUCAUCUCCGGGGGUAGAGCACUGUUUCGGCAAGGGGGUCAUCCCGACUUACCAACCCGAUGCAAACUGCGAAUACCGGAGAAUGUUAUCACGGGAGACACACGGCGGGUGCUAACGUCCGUCGUGAAGAGGGAAACAACCCAGACCGCCAGCUAAGGUCCCAAAGUCAUGGUUAAGUGGGAAACGAUGUGGGAAGGCCCAGACAGCCAGGAUGUUGGCUUAGAAGCAGCCAUCAUUUAAAGAAAGCGUAAUAGCUCACUGGUCGAGUCGGCCUGCGCGGAAGAUGUAACGGGGCUAAACCAUGCACCGAAGCUGCGGCAGCGAC
rnacentral:rRNA from 1 species